UUUUAUGGAGAGUUUGAUCCUGGCUCAGGAUGAACGCUGGCGGCGUGCCUAAUACAUGCAAGUCGAGCGAACGGACGAGAAGCUUGCUUCUCUGAUGUUAGCGGCGGACGGGUGAGUAACACGUGGAUAACCUACCUAUAAGACUGGGAUAACUUCGGGAAACCGGAGCUAAUACCGGAUAAUAUUUUGAACCGCAUGGUUCAAAAGUGAAAGACGGUCUUGCUGUCACUUAUAGAUGGAUCCGCGCUGCAUUAGCUAGUUGGUAAGGUAACGGCUUACCAAGGCAACGAUGCAUAGCCGACCUGAGAGGGUGAUCGGCCACACUGGAACUGAGACACGGUCCAGACUCCUACGGGAGGCAGCAGUAGGGAAUCUUCCGCAAUGGGCGAAAGCCUGACGGAGCAACGCCGCGUGAGUGAUGAAGGUCUUCGGAUCGUAAAACUCUGUUAUUAGGGAAGAACAUAUGUGUAAGUAACUGUGCACAUCU
rnacentral:rRNA from 1 species